AGAACGAACGCUGGCGGCAGGCUUAACACAUGCAAGUCGAGCGCCCCGCAAGGGGAGCGGCAGACGGGUGAGUAACGCGUGGGAACAUACCCUCCGGUUCGGAAUAGCUCAGGGAAACUUGGAUUAAUACCGGAUAAGCCCUUACGGGGAAAGAUUUAUCGCCAAAGGAUCGGCCCGCGUCUGAUUAGCUAGUUGGUGAGGUAACGGCUCACCAAGGCGACGAUCAGUAGCUGGUCUGAGAGGAUGAUCAGCCUCACUGGGACUGAGACACGGCCCAGACUCCUACGGGAGGCAGCAGUGGGGAAUAUUGGACAAUGGGCGCAAGCCUGAUCCAGCCAUGCCGCGUGGAUGAUGAAGGCCCUAGGGUUGUAAAGUCCUUUCGGCGGGGAAGAUAAUGACGGUACCCGCAGAAGAAGCCCCGGCUAACUUCGUGCCAGCAGCCGC
rnacentral:rRNA from 1 species